GUUUUAUUCUUGUUUUCUGUUUGGUUCCCCAGUUGGGAUAUGAACCCCAUGAAGACCGGAAGGCUGUUGGUCACAGUCACCAUUGUGUUCCUAGUUUUAAGCACAAAGUCUGGCACAGUGUAGACCUUCAACAAAUAUUUCCAGAAUGAAUUGUCUUUCUGCAUUUAGACAGUUGUCUCCAGAUUGUAGAGAGGAAGGGGACUAAAGAACUAGGAGAUCCAUAGGAGGGAUUCAUAGUGACAGAGAGGUGCUAAGAUCUGAAUGCAGGGCCAUGGUGAUACAGAUGGAAAGAAAGUUUAAAGGGUGACUCCUCAGGGUUAACACUGACAGAUGUUGGCGAGACAGGGGGAUCGGUCAGCAUGAUUUUAAGGUUUUCAUUUGGAUGUCUGAGUGGCUAGCGAUAUGGCUGACUGAGAGGAAAGAUAGGGAAGGAACAUGAGGAGGGGCUUGUCAUGGGAAGCAAGAGAGCGUAGAUAAUAAGAUCAGUUUUGGACAUGUGUGAUUUGACGCAACUGUCCAACGUCUAAUUGGAGAUGUCCAGUAGACAGUUGGAAAUAAGUGUGGGCCAUUCAGGAAGAUGGCUGGGCUGAGGGUACAGAUUUUUAGUGCUAAAUGAAGCCAGAAGAGGGUAAGGUCACUCAAGGAAAGCAGACAGAGUUGGAAGAGAAAACAGAAGCCUACAUCUAAAGAAAUGUCAUUUGAUGGGCUGGUGAUUGCUGUAUUCAUUAUAAUCCUGAAAAUUCCAUAGAAAUGACAUGGAAACUCAAAGGGAUGCUGUUGCACAACACAGAUCACAGUGGAGAUGCUUUGGUCCAAAGGAGAAGAGGUGGGGUCCAGGCACCUCACUCGCACAGCAGAACUCUGGGCCCUGGAAGGAAGCCACUGUGAAAUCCUGGAAUCCUGCUACUCUCCCUGCUGAGUGAUGUUGAGCUCAUGUUUGGUUGCCUCUGGUGGCAGGAAACUUGCCACCUACAAAGCAGCCUAGUAAAACUUUGGCUGGUUCUGUCCUUUGUCUAAUGACUCUUUAUUGCUGCAAGUUUUGCUGCUAUCCACCAGCAUCUGUUUCUGUGGCG
rnacentral:lncRNA from 1 species